GCAGACAUCUGUCCAGCAUCAUGUAAUUGAAAGUAAGGAUGUCAGAUGCUCAUUUAUCCUACAGGACAUCUUCUGCUCACCCAGACAAGAGCUAUGUAAGCCACAGCCGUUCUUUCUUAACUCAGAAGGAGGAUAAUAUGUGGUAGAUUUAUAGAAGCUGGAGGCCAGGACUGUGCAUAGUUUCUGAUACAUUGAAGUGAUUUCGGUGGUUUUGUGACAUCAUUUUACUCGUGGAUUUAUGAUGAAGAAGAUCACAGCAGGCAGACACCCAAUUGCCAGUGGUGUUACAGAAGGCUGCGUGGAGGUUUUACAUUUUUGCUCUGAGUUGAAGAUUCUGAUCGAGAAGAAAGGCAAGAGAAAAGAGGAAAUGGGCCACUGUAUGACCGAAAGUGUUAAAGGAAACUUCCACAUUCCUGGAAAAACCCCAGCUACAAGUCGAAACGAAUCGAAGGGCAUCAACACGAGAUUUCCUGUGACUUACCACAGUGAUCAGGAUGAAACACCCACUCCUUGCAGAUGGAUUUCUUCUAGAAUUGUCCCAUCUCCUCGGUGGACCAUCUAUCAUAAUAUCC
rnacentral:lncRNA from 1 species